UCAACUCUGAAAACUCAUUCGUUUGGAGAAUGUUCAAUUCAAUCAGUCAGUAUUAUAAAGCGAACACAACCGGGAAACCCACAUCGGCAAAGACAAAUCAGCGGAUACAGUAUGACUUUCUGAUGAUGUGGAACAGUCUUUGAACCUUUUGAAAAAGAAGAAAUACCGAGAAGCCUACACAUAGCAAAAAGUAAGCAAAGAGUUCGACAACCUAUAGCCUGGAAUCUUCAGUCAGCCAAGAUUUUCGCAAUCUUGUCCUGUUAACUAAUCCUGUAGAACUACCUGGCCAACAUUGAAAUUUCCAAAAGCUAUAUAUAGUAUAUUUUAUACUGUCACCUACCACACAGCAAAUCAGAUGAUGUAACGUCCAUCAACGAUCAUAUCUUUAAAAUGUUUCAAGAAGAUUCUAAGGUUAUGAAAAAGGAAGAAUAUAUGGAAAAUAUAGAAGAUAAUGGUACGAGGUAAGACUCUCGUAUCGUGGCAGCAGAUCAAGGCAAGACAUUUCUACCAACACGAAAUACCUAUGGCUUCGGAUUUGUGAAACAGCCCAAGAUUCCAGCACAGUGGGAAAAAUAAGAACUGAGCAGAUUUGUUCAUAGCAAACCGACAAAAAGAAAGAACACCCAAGAUUAUGAAAGAUAUCCAGAAGAGCCAAUGCAAAAAGAGAAGGACUGCUGCUACAAAGGGAAUACAAGUAUUAGGAAAGCCAAGCUUGAGCUACGGGAGACAAAGGAUCACAUACCAUUGCUGUCUUUGAUUCCGAGUAUCUGAAACCAGGAUUCAAUAAUCCUCACAACUCUUUGGUCAUCUCGAUCAAUGAAUGGAUGCUUUUCUGGUUACUACCUGGAACAAAUAACUGCUUUCGUCCUAUUUAUGUAUGAGAAGUGGAUUUAGAACUUUCAGAAUUUCCUAGUUUCUAAGAUCCCAGGUCCCUGGUGAAGUCCAACUAUGUUGCCUGUGGCUGCGCCAAGUUAUAGGCAACAUGGUUGGGCCUCGCCAGGGAUGAGGGAUCCAAGGACCAGGAAAAUUCUGUUAGAUGGAAGUCCAUAUUUUAAAUACCUAAAUGCUGGAUUAUUAAAAGAACAAGGUCAAGUUU